rnacentral:rRNA from 1 species
AUUGAACGCUGGCGGCAUGCUUUACACAUGCAAGUCGGACGGCAGCACAGAGAAGCUUGCUUCUUGGGUGGCGAGUGGCGAACGGGUGAGUAAUAUAUCGGAACGUACCGAGUAAUGGGGGAUAACUAAUCGAAAGAUUAGCUAAUACCGCAUAUUCUCUGAGGAGGAAAGCAGGGGACCUUCGGGCCUUGCGUUAUUCGAGCGGCCGAUAUCUGAUUAGCUAGUUGGUGGGGUAAAGGCCUACCAAGGCGACGAUCAGUAGCGGGUCUGAGAGGAUGAUCCGCCCCACUGGGACGGACACCCGCCCCCGACCCCUACGGGAGGCACCAGUGGGGAAUUUUGGCCAAUGGGCGCAAGCUUGAACCAUCCAUGCCGGGUUUCGUAAGAAGGCCUUCGGGUUGUAAAGGCCUUUUUCCAGGGAAAAAAGGGCUUUUCCUAAAACCGACGGCUGAUGGCGGUACCUGAAGAAAAAGCACCGGCAAACUACGU